CGCCUGUUUAAACAAAAACAUGUCUUUUUGAUUUGAAAUUAUAAGGUCUGACCUGCCCACUGAUUAAAUUUGAAGGGCCGCGGUAUUUUGACCGUGCAAAGGUAGCAUAAUCAUUAGUCUUUUAAUUGAAGGCUGGUAUGAAUGGUUUAACGAAGUAUUGACUGUCUCAUUAUAAUUUUUUGAAUUUAACUUUUUAGUUAAAAGGCUAAAAUGAAAUUGUAGGACGAGAAGACCCUAUAGAGCUUUAUAUAUGUAAUUAAUAAUUAUUUUUAGUUGUUUUUAUUAAUUUUUGAUUAAAUUUAUUUGGUUGGGGUGACUUGAAGAUUUAAUAAACUCUUUGUUUAUAAAGACAUAAAUUUAUGGGAGAUUGAUCCACUAUUAGUGAUUAAAAGAUUAAGUUACCUUAGGGAUAACAGCGUA
rnacentral:rRNA from 1 species